rnacentral:rRNA from 1 species
UACGGAGGGUGCAAGCGUUGUUCGGAAUCACUGGGCGUAAAGCGCGUGUAGGCGGCCUGUUAAGUCAGGUGUGAAAUCCCUUGGCUCAACCAAGGAACUGCAUCUGAAACUGGCUGGCUUGAGUACGGGAGAGGAGAGUGGAAUUCCCGGUGUAGAGGUGAAAUUCGUAGAUAUCGGGAAGAACACCGGUGGCGAAGGCGGCUCUCUGGACCGAUACUGACGCUGAGACGCGAAAGCGUGGGGAGCAAACAGG